rnacentral:lncRNA from 1 species
UAAAACCAAACAUGGCCCUUGCUCUCUCUCCAUCACCCUCCUUGCCCCAUGCACACGUUAGCCAAACCUUCCCUCCCAUGUCUAUCCUACGCCGCAUUUCAUUACUUAACCUAAAACCCCAACGACGCCACCUCGCCACCCUCGCCGCCGCCGCCGUACGCCAAGACACCACUGUCUGGACACCCGCCCCGCUCGUCGAGAUCUCUCCCGCUGCUGAGUCGCUCUUCCACAUAUCUAUCGACAUCUCCGACGCACCCGACAUCGGGUCUUCCCACACACGUGCGGGUC